rnacentral:misc_RNA from 1 species
AGCAGCCGCGGUAAUUCCAGCUCCAAUAGCGUAUAUUAAAGUUGUUGCAGUUAAAAAGCUCGUAGUUGAAUUUCGGGGUUAGUAGGUUGGUCAUGCCUCUGGUAUGUACUGGUCUCACUGAUUCCUCCUUCCUGAUGAACCUUAAUGCCAUUAAUUUGGUGUUUUGGGGAAUUUGGACUGUUACUUUGAAGAAAUUAGAGUGUUUAAAGCAAGCUAACGCUUGAAUACAUUAGCAUGGAAUAAUGAAAUAGGACGUUCGAUCCUAUUUUGUUGGUUUCUAGGAUUGACGUAAUGAUUAAUAGGGAUAGUUGGGGGCAUUAGUAUUCAAUUGUCAGAGGUGAAAUUCUUGGAUUUAUUGAAGACUAACUACUGCGAAAGCAUUUGCCAAGGAUGUUUUCAUUAAUCAAGAACGAAAGUUAGGGGAUCGAAGACGAUCAGAUACCGUCGUAGUCUUAACCAUAAACUAUGCCGACUAGGGAUCGGAUGAUGUUAAUUUUUAAUGA